UGGGGAAUAUUGCACAAUGGGCGCAAGCCUGAUGCAGCGACGCCGCGUGGGGGAUGACGGCCUUCGGGUUGUAAACCUCUUUCAGCAGGGACGAAGCGAAAGUGACGGUACCUGCAGAAGAAGCACCGGCCAACUACGUGCCAGCAGCCGCGGUAAUACGUAGGGUGCGAGCGUUGUCCGGAAUUACUGGGCGUAAAGAGCUCGUAGGUGGUUUGUCGCGUUGUUCGUGAAAACCGGGGGGCUUAACCCUCGGCGUGCGGGCGAUACGGGCAGACUAGAGUACUGCAGGGGAGACUGGAAUUCCUGGUGUAGCGGUGGAAUGCGCAGAUAUCAGGAGGAACACCGGUGGCGAAGGCGGGUCUCUGGGCAGUAACUGACGCUGAGGAGCGAAAGCGUGGGGAGCGAACAGGAUUAGAUACCCUGGUAGUCCACGCCGUAAACGGUGGGUACUAGGUGUGGGUUUCCUUCCUUGGGAUCCGUGCCGUAGCUAACGCAUUAAGUACCCCGCCUGGGGAGUACGGCCGCAAGGCUAAAACUCAAAUGAAUUGACGGGGUCAUAGCUGUUUCCU
rnacentral:rRNA from 1 species